CACGUAGGGGGCGAGCGUUGUCCGGAUUUAUUUGGCGUUAAGGGCUCGUAGGCGGCUCAGUAAGUCAGGUGUGAAAACUCCAGGCUCAACCUGGAGACGCCACCUGAUACUGCUGUGGCUAGAGUCCGGUAGGGGAGCAUGGAAUUCCUGGUGUAGCGGUGAAAUGCGCAGAUAUCAGGAGGAACACCAGUGGCGAAGGCGGUGCUCUGGGCCGGAACUGACGCUGAGGAGCGAAAGCCAGGGGAGCAAACGGG
rnacentral:rRNA from 1 species